CGUAGGGUGCAAGCGUUAAUCGGAAUUACUGGGCGUAAAGCGUGCGCAGGCGGUGAUGUAAGACAGAUGUGAAAUCCCCGGGCUCAACCUGGGAACUGCAUUUGUGACUGCAUCGCUGGAGUGCGGCAGAGGGGGAUGGAAUUCCGCGUGUAGCAGUGAAAUGCGUAGAUAUGCGGAGGACACCGAUGGCGAAGGCAUCCCUGGCCUGCACUGACGCUCAUGCACGAAAGCGUGGGGAGCAAACAGGAUU
rnacentral:rRNA from 1 species